GCUGGGUGUAGUGAUGCACCCCUAUAAUCCUAGAGGCUCUAGAGGCUGAGGCAGGAGGAUUGCAAUUUUGAGGCUAGCCUCUGCAACUUAGCAAGGCCUUAAGCAACUUAGCAAGACCCUGUCUCAA
rnacentral:sRNA from 1 species